UUUGAUUGAAUGAAAUUACUCAAGAUUCGCACUAACCAUAUAUAUAAUAUUCAUAACGUACACAAAAUCUUUGGAGAUUUUCUGAUACAUGUUGCAAUCAGAGAACUCUAUAUAUCUAAUGUGAACAGGUGUCAGACUGAGUUGUUGGGGGGUGGCAGGGGGAGUGAUACAUAUUUCAUGUACGCAGAGCAGAGACCUGAAUUGAGAGAUAUACCUGAACCCACGGCUGUGGAAGUGUCCGGCCACACCGGAAUUUACAGGAAUUUAUUAUCUUCCCUCCCUACUCAGGACGUGCACUCUGAGGCCUGACAUUCAGCUCCUUGUCGGGUGCAACACUGCGAUUUCCACACAAGUCCAUGCACUUCUCCGUACACCUCCCCGUAGAAGCACCGGAACUGACAGCCAGAGAGGGGGGUGCGGGUGUCUCAGAGACCCGCAUCGUUGUAUGUGACAGAAGACCCCUUCAGGAUGCUCUGCGCGUUCUCCUCCACUAGGGGGCGCCACUUGAUCUCCCCGGUCAGCAGCAAGUCCUCCCCGUCAAG